GUAUGGACAUAUCAGGUGAACAGGAAUUGGCUGUCAGCCAGUUCUGCAAGCUGGUCUCUCGAAUCCAGAAUGACGGGAGAAAAGAAGUCGAGACUAAAAAUAUCGUUAUCUUUGGAAGCCGCAACGCCUCUGAAUUCUUUAGCUACAGGAUUUUCCAUUUAGGGCGAAAGGAUCGUGUAUCCGAAAUCGAUAAUAACCGCACCGUGAAGAAGAACUCGACGUAAGAAAGAAGCAAAGUAUCGGUCUUUCUUUAGGCUUCUAUUUUGAUCCGCGCCCAGAUUCCAAUUGGAUUGCCAAGUUCAAUCGAAUUACGAUAUCUUCUCGUUUACG
rnacentral:misc_RNA from 1 species